rnacentral:rRNA from 1 species
UGCCAGCAGCCGCGGUAAUACAGAGGUGGCAAGCGUUGCUCGGUAUCACUGGGCUUAAAGGGCGCGUAGGCGGCACGGUACGGUUCGGGUGAAAUCCCUCGGCUCAACCGAGGAACUGCCCGGGCAACGGCCGCGCUAGACAGCAUCAGGGGAAGGUGGAACUCCAGGUGGAGCGGUGAAAUGUGUAGAUAUCUGGAGGAACGCCGGUGGCGAAAGCGACCUUCUGGGAUGUUUGUGACGCUGAGGCGCGAAAGCUAGGGGAGCGAACGGGAUUAGAUA